CAGCCGCCGCGGUAAUACGUAGGGUGCGAGCGUUAAUCGGAUUUACUGGGCGUAAAGCGUGCGCAGGCGGCCCGUUAAGACAGGUGUGAAAUCCCUGGGCUCAACCUAGGAAUUGCGCUUGUGACUGGCGGGCUCGAGUACGGUAGAGGGGGGUGGAAUUCCUGGUGUAGCAGUGAAAUGCGUAGAGAUCAGGAGGAACACCGAUGGCGAAGGCAGCCCCCUGGGCCUGUACUGACGCUCAUGCACGAAAGCGUGGGGAGCAAAUAGGAUUAGAUACCCUGGUAGUCCACGCCCUAAACGAUGGGUACUAGCCGUUUGGUGCGCGAUAGCGCUGAGUGGCGAAGCUAACGCGUGAAGUACCCCGCCUGGGGAGUACGGCCGCAAGGUUGAAACUUAAAGGAAUUGGCGGG
rnacentral:rRNA from 1 species